rnacentral:rRNA from 1 species
CAGUAGCCGCGGGAAUACGAAGGGGGCUAGCGUUGCUCGGAAUGACUGGGCGUAAAGGGCGCGUAGGCGGAUUGCGCAGUCAGAUGUGAAAUUCCUGGGCUUAACCUGGGGGCUGCAUUUGAGACGCGUAGUCUAGAGUGUGAAAGAGGGUCGUGGAAUUCCCAGUGUAGAGGUGAAAUUCGUAGAUAUUGGGAAGAACACCGGUGGCGAAGGCGGCGACCUGGUUCAUAACUGACGCUGAGGCGCGAAAGCGUGGGGAGCAAACAGGAUUAGAUACCCCAGUAGUCCCUGUCUCUUAUAC